rnacentral:rRNA from 1 species
CAUGCAGUCGAACGGGAUCCCAUAGAUUCGUCUUUGGGUGAGAGUGGCGGACGGGUGAGUAACGCGUUGGUGACCUGCCUUGGAGAGGGGGACAACCAUUGGAAACGAUGGCUAAUACCCCGGAUGUUAUCGAGUUUAGAAAUCGAUAACUAAAGCUCCGGCGCUCCAAGAGGGGCCAGCGUCCCAUCAGCUUGUUGGUAAGGUAACGGCUUACCAAGGCUAAGACGGGUAGGGGGCGUGAGAGCGUGACCCCCCACACUGGUACUGAAACACGGACCAGAUACCUACGGGUAGCAGCAGCAAGGAAUAUUGCGCAAUGGGCGAAAGCCUGACGCAGCAACACCGCGUGGAGGAUGAAGGCUUUCGGGUUGUAAACUCCUUUUCUGGGGGAAGAGAAAGGACGGUACCCCAGGAAUAAGGCCCGGCUAACUACGUGCCAGCAGCCGCGGUAAAACGUAGGGGCCAAGCGUUAUCCGGAAUUACUGGGCGUAAAGCGCAUGCAGGCGGUUUUCUAAGUUGGACGUGAAAGCUCUCGGCUUAACUGGGAGAGGUCGUUCAAUACUGGAAGACUUGAGGAUGGUAGAGGAGAGUGGAAUUCCCGGUGUAGUGGUGAAAUGCGUAGAUAUCGGGAGGAACACCAGAGGCGAAGGCGGCUCUCUGGACCAUUCCUGACGCUCAGAUGCGAAAGCUAGGGGAGAGAACGGGAUUAGAAACCCCGGUAUUCCUAGCCGUAAACGAUGUCAACUAGUGUAUGAGGUACCCAAUCCUUAUGUGCUGUAGCUAACGCAUUAAGUUGACCGCCUGGGGACUACGCCGCAAGGCUAAACUCAAGGAAUUGACGGGGCCCCGCACAAGCAGCGGAGCGUGUGGUUU